AGUGAAUACAUUAAACAAGAACAAAACAAGCACAAUAUCUCAGAUGAAGCUCUAGUCAACCUAUUCUACUGCUUACUUGAACUCAAGGAUCAUUCAAUAUAUGAGGAAAUACAGAGUUACCUCAGUUCAGAUGAACAUCCAGAAAGAGAUCUCUCAUCUUCAAUGUGCACAGUCCUGACCUACAUACUGUUGAUAUCAGAGAAGGUGCUGGAUGAGUUUAACCCAAAGAAGUUUACAUCAUCAUCUUCAAAUUACGCUAUACUUUGUCAACUGUGAAAUGCUGCAGAAAAGCACUAUUUGAUGGCUGUGGUUUUAAUGAAACAUGCUGUGAAACUGUGUCUUCUGCUCUACAAUCAUCAAACUCUCAUCUGAUAGAGCUGAACCUGAGCAGCAAUCACCUGCAGGAUUCAGGAGUGAAGCUGCUUUCUGAUGGACUGAAGAGUUCACACUGUCGACUGAACAUACUGAGGCUGAGUGGUUGUAAUUUCACUUCUCAAUCCUGUGAAAGUUUGUCUUUAGCUCUACAGUCCUCAAAAUCUGUCCUGAGAGAGCUGGAUCUGAGUAACAAUGACCUUCAGGAUUCUGGAGUUAAACUUCUUUCUGAAGGACUAAAGAGUUUAAACUCUAAGCUGGAGAUACUGAGUUUUACAAUCUUCAAACUCUGUUCUGAGAGAGCUGGACCUGAGUAACAAUGACCUGCAGGAUUCAGGGAGUGAAGCUUUUAUUUCUGAUG